AACGAACGCUGGCGGCAGGCUUAACACAUGCAAGUCGAACGCCCCGCAAGGGGAGUGGCCGACGGGUGAGUAACGCGUGGGAACAUACCCUUUCCUGCGGAAUAGCUCCGGGAAACUGGAAUUAAUACCGCAUACGCCCUACGGGGGAAAGAUUUAUCGGGGAAGGAUUGGCCCGCGUUGGAUUAGCUAGUUGGUGGGGUAAAGGCCUACCAAGGCGACGAUCCAUAGCUGGUCUGGGAGGAUGAUCAGCCACAUUGGGACUGAGACACGGCCCAAACUCCUACGGGAGGCAGCAGUGGGGAAUAUUGGACAAUGGGCGCAAGCCUGAUCCAGCCAUGCCGCGUGAGUGAUGAAGGCCUUAGGGUUGUAAAGCUCUUUCACCGAUGAAGAUAAUGACGGUAGUCGGAGAAGAAGCCCCGGCUAACUUCGUG
rnacentral:rRNA from 1 species